rnacentral:rRNA from 1 species
UACAUAGGGGGCAAGCGUUGUCCGGAUUUAUUGGGCGUAAAGAGCGUGUAGGCGGCCAUACAGGUCAGCUGUGAAAACUCGAGGCUCAACCUCGAGACGUCGGUUGAAACCGUAUGGCUAGAGUCCGGAAGAGGAGAGUGGAAUUCCCGGUGUAGCGGUGAAAUGCGCAGAUAUCGGGAAGAACACCCGUGGCGAAGGCGGCUCUCUGGGACGGUACUGACGCUGAGACGCGAAAGCGUGGGGAGCGAACAGG